GACGAACGCUGGCGGCGUGCCUAACACAUGCAAGUCGAACGGGGUAGUUCCUUCGGGGACUACUUAGUGGCGAACGGGUGAGUAACGCGUGAGAAACCUGCCUUUCAGUGGGGGACAACAGUUGGAAACGACUGCUAAUACCGCAUAAUGUUAUUUGAGGGCAUCCUCGAAUAACCAAAGCUUUAUGUGCUGAAAGAUGGUCUCGCGUCUGAUUAGCUAGAUGGCGGGGUAACGGCCCACCAUGGCGACGAUCAGUAGCCGGUCUGAGAGGAUGAACGGCCACAUUGGGACUGCGAUACGGCCCAGACUCCUACGGGAGGCAGCAGUGGGGAAUAUUGGGCAAUGGGGGAAACCCUGACCCAGCAACGCCGCGUGAAGGAAGAAGGCCUUCGGGUUGUAAACUUCUUUUACCAGGGACGAAGAACGUGACGGUACCUGGAGAAAAAGCAACGGCUAACUACGUGCCAGCCGCCGCCGUAACAC
rnacentral:rRNA from 1 species